GACGAACGCUGGCGGCGUGCUUAACACAUGCAAGUCGAACGGAAAGGCCCUGCUUUUGUGGGGUGCUCGAGUGGCGAACGGGUGAGUAACACGUGAGUAACCUGCCCUUGACUUUGGGAUAACUUCAGGAAACUUGGGCUAAUACCGGAUAGGAGCUCCUGCUGCAUGGUGGGGGUUGGAAAGUUUCGGCGGUUGGGGAUGGACUCGCGGCUUAUCAGCUUGUUGGUGGGGUAGUGGCUUACCAAGGCUUUGACGGGUAGCCGGCCUGAGAGGGUGACCGGCCACAUUGGGACUGAGAUACGGCCCAGACUCCUACGGGAGGCAGCAGUGGGGAAUAUUGCACAAUGGGCGGAAGCCUGAUGCAGCAACGCCGCGUGCGGGAUGACGGCCUUCGGGUUGUAAACCGCUUUCGCCUGUGACGAAGCGUGAGUGACGGUAAUGGGUAAAGAAGCACCGGCUAACUACGUGCCAGCAGCCGCGGUGAUACGUAGGGUGCGAGCGUUGUCCGGAUUUAUUGGGCGUAAAGGGCUCGUAGGUGGUUGAUCGCGUCGGAAGUGUAAUCUUGGGGCUUAACCCUGAGCGUGCUUUCGAUACGGGUUGACUUGAGGAAGGUAGGGGAGAAUGGAAUUCCUGGUGGAGCGGUGGAAUGCGCAGAUAUCAGGAGGAACACCAGUGGCGAAGGCGGUUCUCUGGGCCUUUCCUGACGCUGAGGAGCGAAAGCGUGGGGAGCGAACAGGCUUAGAUACCCUGGUAGUCCACGCUGUAAACGGUGGGUACUAGGUGUGGGGUCCAUUCCACGGGUUCCGUGCCGUAGCUAACGCUUUAAGUACCCCGCCUGGGGAGUACGGCCGCAAGGCUAAAACUCAAAGGAAUUGACGGGGCCCCGCACAAGCGGCGGAGCAUGCGGAUUAAUUCGAUGCAACGCGUAGAACCUUACCUGGGUUUGACAUGGAUCGGGAGUGCUCAGAGAUGGGUGUGCCUCUUUUGGGGUCGGUUCACAGGUGGUGCAUGCCUGUCGUCAGCUCGUGUCGUGAGAUGUUGGGUUAAGUCCCGCAACGAGCGCAACCCUUGUUCACUGUUGCCAGCACGUUAUGGUGGGGACUCAGUGGAGACCGCCGGGGUCAACUCGGAGGAAGGUGGGGAUGACGUCAAGUCCUCAUGCCCCUUAUGUCCAGGGCUUCACGCAUGCUGCAAUGGCUGGUACAGAGAGUGGCGAGCCUGUGAGGGUGAGCGAAUCUCGGAAAGCCGGUCUCAGUUCGGAUUGGGGUCUGCAACUCGACCUCAUGAAGUCGGAGUCGCUAGUAAUCGCAGAUCAGCAACGCUGCGGUGAAUACGUUCCCGGGGCU
rnacentral:rRNA from 1 species